UGCUCCACCGGAAAAAGAGGAGUGGCGAACGGGUGAGUAACACGUGGGUAACCUGCCCAUCAGAAGGGGAUAACACUUGGAAACAGGUGCUAAUACCGUAUAACAAUCGAAACCGCAUGGUUUUGAUUUGAAAGGCGCUUUCGGGUGUCGCUGAUGGAUGGACCCGCGGUGCAUUAGCUAGUUGGUGAGGUAACGGCUCACCAAGGCCACGAUGCAUAGCCGACCUGAGAGGGUGAUCGGCCACAUUGGGACUGAGACACGGCCCAAACUCCUACGGGAGGCAGCAGUAGGGAAUCUUCGGCAAUGGACGAAAGUCUGACCGAGCAACGCCGCGUGAGUGAAGAAGGUUUUCGGAUCGUAAAACUCUGUUGUUAGAGAAGAACAAGGAUGAGAGUAACUG
rnacentral:rRNA from 1 species